rnacentral:rRNA from 1 species
GGGCGGCUUUAUAACACACUGCAGCGAGGGGUACAGGAUUGUUGCAAUCCGCUGACGACCGGCGCACGGGUGCGUAACGCGUAUGCAACCUACCUUCUACAGGGGGAUAGUCAAUAGAAAUGUUGAAUAAUACCCCAUACGAUCAUGAAUUGGCAUCAAUUUAUGAGGAAAGUUCCGGCGGUAGAAGAUGGGCGAUGCGCUCCGAGCUAUUAGCUUAGUUGGUAAGGUAACGGCUUACCAAGACAUCGAUAGGUAGGGGUCCUGAGAGGGAGAUCCCCCACACUGGUACUGAGACACGGACCAGACUCCUACGGGAGGCAGCAGUGAGGAAUAUUGGACAAUGGAGGCAACUCUGAUCCAGCCAUGCCGCGUGCAGGAAGACGGACCUAUGGGUUGUAAACUGCUUUUAUACAGGAAGAAUGGUACCUACGUGUAGGUAUUUGACGGUACUGUACGAAUAAGGAUCGGCUAACUCCGUGCCAGCAGCCGCGGUAAUACGGAGGAAUCCAGCGUUCUCCGGAAUCGUUGGGUUUAAAGGGGUCGUACGCCGGGUUUUAAGUCAGAGGUGAAUCCUGGAGAA